rnacentral:rRNA from 1 species
ACGGAAGGCAGCAGUAGGGAAUAUUGCACAAUGGGGGAAACCCUGAUGCAGCAACGCCACGUGUGGGAAGAAGCAUUUCGGUGUGUGAACCACUGUCGUGAGGGAAUAAGGCAUUGUUUCGGCGAUGUUGAAUGUACCUCGAAAGGAAGCACCGGCAAACUUCGUGCCAGCAGCCGCGGUAAUACGAGGGGUGCAAGCGUUGUUCGGAAUCACUGGGCGUAAAGGGAGCGCAGGCGGAGAUGCAAGCGGACUGUACAAUACCGGGGCCCAACCCCGGACCUGCAGACCGGACUGCAUUUCUUGGAUAGUUCAGGGGCAAGCGGAAUUCCUGGUGUAGCGGUGGAAUGCGUAGAGAUCAGGAAGAACACCGAUGGCGAAGGCAGCUUGCUGGGGACUUAUCGACGCUCAUGCUCGAAAGUGCGGGUAGCAAACAGGAUUAGAUACCCUGGUA